GAUGUGGUUAAGGAUGCACAUUUUUUUCCCCGUCUUAUCGACUAUGGUGAUAACCAACUAAAAAUAAGCCAAUUAUGUCUGAAACCACAUC